rnacentral:rRNA from 1 species
UGGGGAAUUUUGGACAAUGGGGGAAACCCUGAUCCAGCCAUCCCGCGUGUGCGAUGAAGGCCUUCGGGUUGUAAAGCACUUUUGGCAGGAAAGAAACGUCAUGGGUUAAUACCCCGUGAAACUGACGGUACCUGCAGAAUAAGCACCGGCUAACUACGUGCCAGCAGCCGCGGUAAUACGUAGGGUGCAAGCGUUAAUCGGAAUUACUGGGCGUAAAGCGUGCGCAGGCGGUUCGGAAAGAAAGAUGUGAAAUCCCAGAGCUCAACUUUGGAACUGCAUUUUUAACUACCGGGCUAGAGUGUGUCAGAGGAAGGUGGAAUUCCGCGUGUAGCAGUGAAAUGCGUAGAUAUGCGGAGGAACACCGAUGGCGAAGGCAGCCUCCUGGGAUAACACUGACGCUCAUGCACGAAAGCGUGGGGAGCAAACAGG